rnacentral:rRNA from 1 species
GUGGGGAAUAUUGCACAAUGGGGGAAACCCUGAUGCAGCGACGCCGCGUGAGUGAAGAAGUAUUUCGGUAUGUAAAGCUCUAUCAGCAGGGAAGAGAAUGACGGUACCUGAGUAAGAAGCCCCGGCUAACUACGUGCCAGCAGCCGCGGUAAUACGUAGGGGGCAAGCGUUAUCCGGAUUUACUGGGUGUAAAGGGAGCGUAGACGGCGAAGAAAGUCUGAAGUGAAAGCCCGCGGCUCAACCGCGGAACUGCUUUGGAAACUUUUUUGCUGGAGUACCGGAGAGGUAAGCGGAAUUCCUAGUGUAGCGGUGAAAUGCGUAGAUAUUAGGAGGAACACCAGUGGCGAAGGCGGCUUACUGGACGGUAACUGACGUUGAGGCUCGAAAGCGUGGGGAGCAAACAGGAUUAGAAACCCUAGUAGUCC